CCUUGCCAGCCCGCUCAAGAACUCAAGGAAUUGACGGGGCCGCACAAGCGAGGAGCAUGUGUUAAUUCGAUGAUACGCGAGGAACCUUACCUGGGCUCGAACGUAAGAUGACUGUAGGUGAAAGCUUACAUCUCUUCGGAGCAUUUUACGAGGUGCUGCAUGGUUGUCGUCAGCUCGUGCCGUGAGGUGUCGGGUUAAGUCCCAUAACGAGCGCAACCCCUACCUUUAGUUGCCAUCAGGUUAAGCUGGGGACUCUAAAGGAACUGCCUACGCAAGUAGUGAGGAAGGCGGGGAUGACGUCAAAUCAGCACGGCCCUUACGUCCAGGGCUACACACGUGCUACAAUGGCCGAUACAGAGGGCAGCUACCUGGUGACAGGAUGCAAAUCUCCAAAGUCGGUCUCAGUUCGGAUCGGAGUCUGCAACCCGACUCCGUGAAGUUGGAUUCGCUAGUAAUCGCGCAUCAGCCAUGGCGCGGUGAAUACGUUCCCGGGCCUU
rnacentral:rRNA from 1 species